rnacentral:tRNA from 1 species
GCCAAAUUAGCUUAGUGGUUAAGCAGCUGACUCGUAAUCAGCCGUCACGAGUUCGAUUCUCGUAUUUGGCACCA